rnacentral:rRNA from 1 species
CAUGCAGUCGAACGAUGAACCACCUUCGGGUGGGGAUUAGUGGCGAACGGGUGAGUAACACGUGGGCAAUCUGCCCUGCACUCUGGGACAAGCCCUGGAAACGGGGUCUAAUACCGGAUACUGAACCGCUUGGGCAUCCAGGCGGUUCGAAAGCUCCGGCGGUGCAGGAUGAGCCCGCGGCCUAUCAGCUUGUUGGUGAGGUAACGGCUCACCAAGGCGACGACGGGUAGCCGGCCUGAGAGGGCGACCGGCCACACUGGGACUGAGACACGGCCCAGACUCCUACGGGAGGCAGCAGUGGGGAAUAUUGCACAAUGGGCGAAAGCCUGAUGCAGCGACGCCGCGUGAGGGAUGACGGCCUUCGGGUUGUAAACCUCUUUCAGCAGGGAAGAAGCGAAAGUGACGGUACCUGCAGAAGAAGCGCCGGCUAACUACGUGCCAGCAGCCGCGGUAAUACGUAGGGCGCGAGCGUUGUCCGGAAUUAUUGGGCGUAAAGAGCUCGUAGGCGGCUUGUCGCGUCGGUUGUGAAAGCCCGGGGCUUAACCCCGGGUCUGCAGUCGAUACGGGCAGGCUAGAGUUCGGUAGGGGAGAUCGGAAUUCCUGGUGUAGCGGUGAAAUGCGCAGAUAUCAGGAGGAACACCGGUGGCGAAGGCGGAUCUCUGGGCCGAUACUGACGCUGAGGAGCGAAAGCGUGGGGAGCGAACAGGAUUAGAUACCCUGGUAGUCCACGCCGUAAACGGUGGGCACUAGGUGUGGGCGACAUUCCACGUCGUCCGUGCCGCAGCUAACGCAUUAAGUGCCCCGCCUGGGGAGUACGGCCGCAAGGCUAAAACUCAAAGGAAUUGAC